UUUGCAGGUUGUUAGACUGCCAGAAGCUCUCUUUAGAAGCUUGCACACACGCGGCGCAGAACGACAGAUUACCACUAAGAGUAAUCGUCCAAGUCCUCUUCUUUGAGCAGCUUCAGCUUAGAACCUCUGUAGCUGGAUGCUUCCUGGUUUCAGACAACCUCGAUGGUGGGUCAAGGCAGUUAAGAAGCGGCGGAUUUGCAGGAGGAUCAGCCGAAGGAGGAGGAGGAGGAUGGGCAAGUGCAGUAAGAGAGAAUCAAGUCUUGAAAGUUGGGAUGGACAGUAUGAGGAUGAGGGUUUGCGAGUUGGAGAAUGACUUGUAUGGUAUCUAUAAAAUGGUCUCUACGGAGAGGGAGCAUAUUAUAACCUUACUCGCACGCCAAAGAUUAGUGAGAAGGAUUGGAUUCUUUGAGUAAAGAUUAGGACGUAAUUAAUCAAACUUUCACACUUUAUGUAAUGUUAGCUACAAACAAAAAUGUUUGCUAAUUUCAAGAAUCAACACAAUGAGUAUGUUUGAAGAUACAAAGGAGUGAAGGACCCUCCAAGUGCAUGUGCUCAUAAUAAUAAUAAUUAAAAAAAUCUUCUAAUAUAAAUUUCGAGAUUUUCAAAUGUCCACCUUUUAUUACACUAUAUGGAUUAAAAUAAAGUUUCUAGAUUCUAAAGCAACCAAUACAAAAACACAAAAUAUUAACUAUAUUUAAUUUAAUUUUACUUUUUCCUUAUUACCAGACAUCAAUCAAUUGGCUAUAUGGUCCCCCUUACAUGUAUAUUCUCGUAUAAAGCAACAAGAACUGGUAAGUUACUUCUCUGCUUAGCUGUUCUUGUCUAGCUGGGUUUUUGGGGGUUCAGCUUCUUUCUUUCUUUUCAUUACUUUGCUGGGGGAAAAGGUUUUAAUUUGGUGUUACAGAUAAGAUUAUUUAAGAUUCUGAGUUUCUUUUAGUGGGGGGCUUUGGCCAAGGGGAUCUCUCUAUAUUAUUACACAUUCCGUGUGAUUCUUUUGGGCGUUGAGGUUUUAAUUUCUGGAAGAUUAAUGUGAGCUACUGAGUGUGGAGAAAGGAGGCAGCUUUUAAGUGUUUGUUCAAAUGUCUGAGUGAAAUUGAUCUGGGUAUUAAGGGAUAGAUCCAAAGUCUCUUUCUUUCUGAGAAAAUUAGCAGUUUUUUUUUUUUUUGGUUUGGUUGUUGUACGUUAGGGUUUUUGGAGGCUUAGCUAUUGUAAGUUUCUUUGUUGGAUUCUGUUGAGUGAGAGAAAGUAUGGCUUGCAUGAAGCUGGGAUCCAAAUCUGAUGCUUUCCAGAGACAAGGCCAGGCUUGGUAUAUUCACUUGCUCUCUACUUGUUUUAUAGUCUAUCUUUGUUCCAUUUUUUGCCCCUUCUUGAUUCUCCUCCUAAUGUCUCAUACUGGAUUUGAGACCUUUGGUCUCAGCAUUACUGAGUCAAAGUUUCCUCCUUUGUCUUCUUCUUUUUUGUGCUCAAAUAUUACAGGUUUUGCACAACUGGACUUCCAAGUGAUGUUGUCGUUGAAGUUGGGGAAAUGUCUUUCCAUCUCCACAAGGUAAACUUGAUUUGCUUGCUUGAACAAGACAACACUCUCUUCUUGAUGAAUCCUUACACUUACUGUAGAAACCAGUGUGUACCAAGCCUCCUCUUUGAGAAAAAAAAAUAAAGUUUUUCUUAUAGGCUUUUUGAUUCUGUGCUAUGUGCAGUUUCCUUUGCUCUCUAGAAGUGGAGUCAUGGAAAGAAACAUCGCAGAGGCAUCUCAAGAAGCAGAUGAUGACAAAUGUCUCAUUCAAAUCUCUGAUCUUCCCGGCGGAGACAAAACCUUCGAGCUAAUCGCCAAGUUCUGCUACGGUGUAAAACUCGAACUCACCGCUUCCAACGUUGUACACCUCAGAUGCGCAGCUGAGCAUCUCGAAAUGACUGAAGAGAACGCCGAAGGAAACCUAAUCUCCCAAACCGAAACUUUCCUCAACCAAGUCGUCCUCAAAAGCUGGAAAGACUCAAUAAAAGCCCUCCAAACCUGCAGCGAGGUCUCCCACUACGCUGAGGAGUUAAACAUCACCAAGAAAUGCAUAGAGUCGCUAGCCGUGAGAGCAUCAACAACAGACCCGAACCUUUUCGGAUGGCCGGUCGUGGACCCCAUGCAGAGUCCAGGUGGCAGCGUGUUAUGGAACGGCAUAAGCACGGGUGCUAGAGUUAAACACACUAGCUCAGAUUGGUGGUACGAGGACGCGUCCACACUUAGCUUUCCUCUCUUUAAGAGACUCAUCACAGUCAUGGACUCACGAGGAGGCGUAAGAGAAGACAUCAUCGCCGGUUCUUUAACUUACUACACAAGAAAACACUUACCCGGUUUAAAACGACGCCGUGGAGGACCUGAAGCUAGCGGUCGUUUCAGCAGCUCAGGGACGGUACUCUCCGAAGAAGAGCAGAAGCACUUGCUCGAAGAGAUCCAAGACCUUCUCCCCGUGCAAAAAGGUUUAGUCCCGACCAAGUUCUUCGUCGACAUGCUCAGAGUCGCCAAGAUUCUGAAGGCUAGCCCUAGCUGCGUAGCUAACUUGGAGAAGAGGAUAGGGAUGCAGCUCGACCAGGCGGCGUUGGAGGAUCUUGUGAUGCCUAGCUUUACUCAUACGAUGGAGACUCUAUACGAUGUUGACUCUGUGCAGAGGAUCUUGGAUCAUUUUCUUGGUACUGAUCAGAUUAUGACUGUUGGUGGUGGUGUUGGCUCUCCUUGCUCUUCGGUGGAUGAUGGGAACUUGAUGGGAUCACCGCAGAGGAUAACGCCGAUGAUGGCGGUUUCGAAGCUGAUUGAUGGGUAUCUUGCUGAAGUGGCUCCUGAUGUUAAUCUCAAGCUUCCGAAGUUUCAAACCUUAGCUGGUUCUGUUCCUGAGUGUGCUAGGCUCUUGGAUGAUGGACUAUAUCGCGCAAUAGACAUUUACUUAAAGGUAAGAAUUGUUUUUUAUAGCGCUGAACUGAAGUAAGACCGAACCGACCAAACUAAAUUUUUCUGUUUUCGGUUUAACAUCCGGUAGAACCAAUAAACCAAUCUGCCCAUUUUUAAAAUUUUAAUCGGUUUUUGGUUCGGUUCCGCAAGCAAGAACCGAUCAGUUUGAAACAUAUUUAACCAAAAAAACUGAAUAAACAGAAAUAACCUGAAACAAACUGAAUAAACCCGGAAAAUUAAAAUUUACAUAACCGAGUUUUUGUUUUUACCAAAUUAACCGAAUGAACCGAUAUGUUAAACAAAUUUUGGUUCAAUUCGGAAUAAAUAAUAAUACCGAAAACCUACCCGAAUAAUCCGAAUUCCGAACCAAAUAAAACCAAAAUAUAGUUCGGUUUCCAAAACCGAAAAACCGAAUAAACCAACCCAAAAAACCGAAAAAAACUAAUGUCCAACUCUACUGUUUUAUUUAACAAAGACUUAUUAAGUUGCUUCUUUUAUUCAUUUGAUGAUCUGCAGCAUCAUCCGUGGUUAGCGGAAACAGAGAGAGAGAAUCUUUGCAGGUUGUUAGACUGCCAGAAGCUCUCUUUAGAAGCUUGCACACACGCGGCGCAGAACGACAGAUUACCACUAAGAGUAAUCGUCCAAGUCCUCUUCUUUGAGCAGCUUCAGCUUAGAACCUCUGUAGCUGGAUGCUUCCUGGUUUCAGACAACCUCGAUGGUGGGUCAAGGCAGUUAAGAAGCGGCGGAUUUGCAGGAGGAUCAGCCGAAGGAGGAGGAGGAGGAUGGGCAAGUGCAGUAAGAGAGAAUCAAGUCUUGAAAGUUGGGAUGGACAGUAUGAGGAUGAGGGUUUGCGAG
rnacentral:lncRNA from 1 species